UGCGUAGACGGCAUAUUAAGUCUGUUGUUAAAUUCUUCGGCUCAACUGAAGGUAUGCAAUGGAAACUGAUGUGCUCGAGGGUGAGAGAGAGAAGUGGAAUUCUCGGAGUAGCGGUAAAAUGCGUAGAUCUCGAGAGGAACACCAAUGGCGAAGGCAGCUUCUUGGCUCAUUUCUGACGUUGAGGCACGAAAGCGUGGGGAGCAAACA
rnacentral:rRNA from 1 species